CAGCGUUUGACAUGGGACGUAUGAUCGUCAGAGAUGACUUUCUUCACUUCGGGUGGCGUCCACACAGGUGCUGCAUGGCUGUCGUCAGCUCGUGUCGUGAGAUGUUGGGUUAAGUCCCGCAACGAGCGCAACCCUCACCUUCAGUUGCCAUCAUUUAGUUGGGCACUCUGAAGGAACUGCCGGUGACAAGCCGGAGGAAGGUGGGGAUGACGUCAAGUCCUCAUGGCCCUUACGCGCUGGGCUACACACGUGCUACAAUGGUGGUGACAAUGGGUCGCAAGCGUGCGAACGCAAGCUAAUCUCCAAAAGCCAUCUCAGUUCGGAUUGCACUCUGCAACUCGAGUGCAUGAAGUCGGAAUCGCUAGUAAUCGUGGAUCAGCAUGCCACGGUGAAUACGUUCCC
rnacentral:rRNA from 1 species